AUGACUUUCAUCUUCAUCUGGACUCUCCUCUGCUGCUGCUUCACAGAGUCCAGAGGUCAGAUCACAGUGACUCAGCCUGGAUCAGUGAGUUCUGCUGUGGGAGGCUCCGUUAAAAUCAGAUGUACAACCAGUCACAGGGUAGAUGAUGGAGAAGACCAAUUCUGGUACCAACAGAAAGAUGGAGAACCUCCUAAACUGCUCAUUUACUAUAGUAGUUCUAGAGCAUCAGGGAUUCCAGAUCGAUUUUCUGGCAGCGGAUCAAACACAGACUUCACUUUGACCAUCAGUGGAGUUCAGGCUGAAGAUGCUGCAGUUUAUUAUUGUUUGGGUGAAUUCAUCAUCAACAGUCAGUAUUCGUUGACUUUUGGUGGAGGAACCAGACUGGAUGUUGGACGUGAUGUCCGUCCCUCCCUGACGGUGCUGCCCCCCUCCACAGAGGAGCUGCAGCAGGGGAAGGCCACGCUCAUGUGUCUGGCCAACAAGGGCUUCCCCUCAGACUGGAGUCUGUCCUGGAAGGUGGACGGCAGCAGCAGCAGCAGCAGCAGCAGCUGGGAGGAGAGCAGGAGCCCCGGGGUGCUGCAGGAGGACGGCCUCUACAGCUGGAGCAGCACCCUGAGGCUCCCUGCAGACCAGUGGAGGAAGGUGGGCUCUGUGAGCUGUGAGGCCACCCAGGGCUCCCAGACUCCACUCUCAGAGACACUGAGGAGAGACCAGUGUUCCCAGUCCUGACCUCACCCACUGGGAACAUCACACUGGUUCUGUUCUGACACUGUGUUCUGUUUUUUCUCUGUAACUUUCUCUCUUUCUAUUCUCAACCUUAUUCUAAUGGUGAAAACAUUUUAAAAUAAUAAAAAUGUAUUAAGAAAAUAAGUCUAUUGAGUUCUUUUGUUUGUUAUGAAAACAUUAGAGCAUAAAAUUAUGUUGAUUGACACAAACCAAAAAGAAAAUUAGAACAUUUAUCAUCACCGAUUAAAGUUGCUCUUUUUUGAACAAGUCUUGAAGUAAGCUGUUGUCUAAAUAAUCAGAAUUAUUCUUGGGUUUAAAAAGAAAAAACGGGAUUUCUUCUGCAUAAAGUGAUUAACUUUCUCUCUUUCCAGUCCCAUUCAUUCUGUGUUUGUUGCAAAUUAGAAAACAUUUUAAAACAAUAAAAAUGUAUCAAGUAAACACGUCUGUUGACUUCUUUUUGUUUUGUCGGUAUGGAAAUAUCAUUCAGAU